rnacentral:lncRNA from 1 species
GAGGACGAAAAAAAUUUAAGGUGUGGCGAAGUCUUAAGAAAAUAAUUCUUUUGAUGCAAAUCAAAAGAGUUAAGACAAAUUACAAACCAAAAACCAAAUACAAUGAAUAUGUAGGCAUGUUUCAAUAGGAAAGCAACCUAAAAUAUAUCGAUAAUGAAGCUUUCAAUGGCAUGUGCCGAAAUAUUGACACUUUCACGGGUGCUUGGAUUUGAUUUUGAGCUGCUGCCACUACCAAAUACUUCAAAAUACUUCUUCAAAUCUGCAAUCACAACAUUAAUAUAUCACUACAAUCUGCUUGAAUUUAAGGUUUGAAGUUGCUGUUCAAAAUUGCUAUAAAAUUUCAGGACAAAGAGAAAUUACCUCUUCCCCUUUUCUUUGGAUUUACUAGUCCAUUCCCCUUUCUAUCCAUCUUCUAGUAAUCUGGACAGAACAACACAGGCU